UUGACGGGGGCCCGCACAAGCGGCGGAGCAUGUGGCUUAAUUCGACGCAACGCGAAGAACCUUACCAAGGCUUGACAUAUACCGGAAAGCAUUAGAGAUAGUGCCCCCCUUGUGGUCGGUAUACAGGUGGUGCAUGGCUGUCGUCAGCUCGUGUCGUGAGAUGUUGGGUUAAGUCCCGCAACGAGCGCAACCCUUGUCCUGUGUUGCCAGCAUGCCCUUCGGGGUGAUGGGGACUCACAGGAGACCGCCGGGGUCAACUCGGAGGAAGGUGGGGACGACGUCAAGUCAUCAUGCCCCUUAUGUCUUGGGCUGCACACGUGCUACAAUGGCCGGUACAAAGAGCUGCGAUGCCGUGAGGCGGAGCGAAUCUCAAAAAGCCGGUCUCAGUUCGGAUUGGGGUCUGCAACUCGACCCCAUGAAGUCGGAGUUGCUAGUAAUCGCAGAUCAGCAUUGCUGCGGUGAAUACGUUCCCGGGCCUUGUACACACCGCCCGUCACGUCACGAAAGUCGGUAACACCCGAAGCCG
rnacentral:rRNA from 1 species